rnacentral:rRNA from 1 species
AGAACGAACGCUGGCGGCAUGCCUAACACAUGCAAGUCGAACGCUCUUGGGGCUUCGGUUCCAAGGGAGUGGCGCACGGGUGAGUAGCGCGUGGGAACCUGCCCUGGAGUGGGGGAUAACCGAGGGAAACUUCGGCUAAUACCGCAUACGCCGGGAAACCGGGAAAGAUUUAUCGCUCUAGGAGGGGCCCGCGUCGGAUUAGGUAGUUGGUGGGGUAACGGCCUACCAAGCCUUUGAUCCGUAGCUGGUCUGAGAGGAUGAUCAGCCACACUGGGACUGAGACACGGCCCAGACUCCUACGGGAGGCAGCAGUGGGGAAUAUUGGACAAUGGGCGCAAGCCUGAUCCAGCCAUGCCGCGUGAGUGAUGAAGGCCCUAGGGUUGUAAGCUCUUUCAACGGUGAAGAUAAUGACGGUAACCGUAGAAGAGCCCGGCUAACUUCGUGCCAGCAGCCGC